rnacentral:rRNA from 1 species
AAUACCUCAUAGAAUUGCGAUCUUGGCAUUCAGAUUGUAAUUAAAGAUUUAUUGGUAAAAGAUGGCUUAUGCGUUUAUUAGCUGAUGGUAAGGUAACGGCUUACCAUGGCAACGAUAAGUAGGGGCCCUGAGAGGGGGAUCCCCCACACUGGUACUGAGACACGGACCAGACUCCUACGGGAGGCAGCAGUGAGGAAUAUUGGGCAAUGGAGGCAACUCUGACCCAGCCAUGCCGCGUGCAGGAAGACUGCCCUAUGGGUUGUAAACUGCUUUUAUACAGGAAGAAACACACCUACGUGUAGGUGCUUGACGGUACUGUAAGNAUAAGCACNGGAAGCUCCG